GUUGGCGCCUAAUACGUGUCAACUGUGACGUUACUCGCAGAAGAAGCACCGGCUAACUCCGUGCCAGCAGCCGCGGUAAUACGGAGGGCGCAAGCGUUAAUCGGAAUUACUGGGCGUAAAGCGCACGCAGGCGGUUGGAUAAGUUAGAUGUGAAAGCCCCGGGCUCAACCUGGGAAUUGCAUUUAAAACUGUCCAGCUAGAGUCUUGUAGAGGGGGGUAGAAUUCCAGGUGUAGCGGUGAAAUGCGUAGAGAUCUGGAGGAAUACCGGUGGCGAAGGCGGCCCCCUGGACAAAGACUGACGCUCAGGUGCGAAAGCGUGGGGAGCAAACAGGAUUAGAUACCCUGGUAGUCCACGCCGUAGACGAUGUCGAUUUGGAGGCUGUGUCCUUGAGACGUGGCUUCCGGAGCU
rnacentral:rRNA from 1 species